UACGUAGGGGGCGAGCGUUGUCCGGAAUUAUUGGGCGUAAAGAGCGUGUAGGCGGUUCGGUAAGUCUGCCGUGAAAACCCAGGGCUCAACCCUGGGCGUGCGGUGGAUACUGCCGGGCUAGAGGAUGGUAGAGGCGAGUGGAAUUCCCGGUGUAGCGGUGAAAUGCGCAGAUAUCGGGAGGAACACCAGUAGCGAAGGCGGCUCGCUGGGCCAUACCUGACGCUGAGACGCGAAAGCGUGGGGAGCGAACAGG
rnacentral:rRNA from 1 species